CGGGGUAACGCCCGAGAAGGUCCUCUGAGGCUACAGGAGGCUCCGAUCCAAAGAGGCAGCACAGAGGAAGCAGGCAUGUUCGUGUUGUGACGGCUGGACCACCACAAGUGGCACUCGAACAGGAACCUGAGUAUUGAGGGAUCCACUGAAGGACACUGCUGGAUAAAGAAUAAAAGGAGACCUCGACAAAAAGAAAACAGAGGACCUUCAAAAGGAAGGCAAAAGAGGAGCGGAACAUGAUGGAGCUCAAUGGUUACCAGAGAGAUUGGUUCAUCAUGUGGAUCAUUCUGACAAAUCUACAUCCAGCAAUAUUGGGCUUAUAUGCCUGAUAUUUAAUGACACAUCUCAAAAG